AUGUUCUUGAAUCACGCUGGAAGACUUGAGGAUGUGCGAAGAUUUUGUUCAGAUCUUCCCGAAUCUAGAUCGAGUCGGGGAGUCUUUGACGAAACUUCGGGAUCUACAAAUAGCGGUCUCCGCAUCAUGGUUUCCAUGAACUACCAUGAGUCCUUGGCAAUGAAUGGUUGUCGUCAGAAAGUUGAUUGCCAUCUUGGAGAUGGAGACUUCGUCGAAUGCAAUUUGGUGUCUGUAAUUUGUGGUUUUCCGUUGUACAUCCGCUAA